AAUGCUUUACACAUGCAAGUCGGGCGGCAGCGCGGGGCAACCUGGCGGCGAGCGGCGAACGGGUGAGUAAUGCAUCGGAACGUGUCCAUGUCGUGGGGGAUAGCCCGGCGAAAGCCGGAUUAAUACCGCAUACGCCCGAGAGGGGAAAGUGGGGGACCGCAAGGCCUCACGCGAUUGGAUCGGCCGAUGUCCGAUUAGCUAGUUGGCGGGGUAAAGGCCCACCAAGGCGAUGAUCGGUAGCUGGUCUGAGAGGAUGAUCAGCCACACUGGGACUGAGACACGGCCCAG
rnacentral:rRNA from 1 species